AGUGUGUAAUGAGGUAGGGUUGGAAGAGUCCAUAAGAAGUAGGACUCUCCAUAAAAUGUCACCUCCUCACAAUUUUCACACCAAAAGAAAUAUGGAAUGUACUUCACAUAUUUUUCCAUGGUAAAACUAAUUUCCUUCUGAUUUCCCAUGCUCCAUAUCUCUCUAUUUGUCACACAAAAGAAAAGAUUUUAAUGGAAGUGGGCGGCA
rnacentral:lncRNA from 1 species